rnacentral:lncRNA from 1 species
ACCCUACAUAUGAAUAUCGUUAUUGUGGAGCAUGUAUGUGGUACGAAGAGAGGACAAAGAAACUCAAAACUCUAAAAAAUCCGAAAUUCCAACUAUGUUGUGGUGUUGGAAAAAUUUAACUUCCAUUGUUGAUGCCUCCUCCUCCUUCUCCUUCUCCUUCUUCUGCAAUACAAUAUUUGUUAUUUGAUAACUAUUCAAGUGAUAGUAAGAAUUAUCAACAACAUAUUAGAGCAUAUAACAUGAUGUUUUCUUCACCUCGCCGCUAGCAAAAAUUGACAAGUCCUUCAAUGAUGUUAUCGCUAAUGCUUGGAACAACUCCGAAGUUUGCAUAACUCUACAUAUAUAAUACAGAGAAUGAGAUACAAUAUAGACUUGCAGGAUUAAGGUACAUUUUAUUUAUUUAUUUAUAAUGUUUUAGCAUAUGGAUAAUGUUUAUUUUCAAUGACAGUUAAUACUUAAAUUUUUCCAAUAGCAAUCAAGGACAAGUAGAUCCAGAAAUUGGUUGUCGAUUGUGUGCAAUGCUAGAUGAACAUAACAUUCAUGUCAAAUAUUUUAGAAUGGAAAAAUAGUGUUAUCAACAUGAAUCCAUAAGUGACCUUAAGCUGAAGUUGAAUUUAGGACAAUUGUCAGGUAUUAACUUUAAUAAAGAAUAUGCAUCUACGAAAUAGUAUAAACAAUACAAAUCAAUUACAAAUUCAACAGUUUGCAAAAUGGAUUUUAGAUGUAGGUGAUGGAAAAUUGUCAGAGCCAAAAGAUGGCUAUGCAUUGAUUGAGAUACCUGAACAAUUUUUGAUAACUAAUUAUGAUGAUCUCAUUCAUGCUAUAGUUAAAAGUACUUAUCCAAAUUUAGUUGAUGAAUACUUGAAUGAGGAAUUUCUACAAUUAGAGCUAUUUUGGUAUCAACAAUUGAUGAAAUAAAUAAUUAUGUCCUAUCAUUGAUCCUAGGUAGACCUUUCAAUCAUAGUUUUUUUACAUAUUCAUAGAUGUUAUUAUGUGAAUAUUAACACAUUUUGUUUCAAAUGAAGGUGAUGAAAGAUAGUAUAUAAGCUCAGAUUUUAUUGAUAGGUUAAAGUCUAAUGACAAUGAAGCUCUCUAUAAGGACUUACUCUUGAGUUUCUAAACUUCCUCAGAACUUCAGAUUGCCUAACCAUAAAAUCAAAUUGAAGGUAGGAACACCAAUUAUGCGAUGGAGAAAUCUAGAUGAGUCUUAAUGGUUGUGCAAUGGAACAAGAACGAUUGUAAAUAGACUAGCAAUCCAUGUCAUCAAAGCAAUGUAAUGACAAGAAAAAAUGUUGGAAAGAUGUUCUACAUUCCACGAAUGAAUUUGUCUCCAUCCCAUUCACCAUGGCCUUUCAAAUUAACAAGGAGACAAUUUUCGUUGACUGUUUCAUAUGUUAUGACAAUCAACAAGUCACAAUGGCAAUCAUUAGAAAAUGUUGGGUUGUAUCUACCUCGACCAGUUUUCAACCAUGAC